AGUGAACGCUGGCGGUAGGCCUAACACAUGCAAGUCGAACGGCAGCACAGUAAGAGCUUGCUCUUACGGGUGGCGAGUGGCGGACGGGUGAGGAAUACAUCGGAAUCUACUUUUUCGUGGGGGAUAACGUAGGGAAACCUACGCUAAUACCGCAUACGACCUACGGGUGAAAGCAGGGGAUCUUCGGACCUUGCGCGAUUGAAUGAGCCGAUGUCGGAUUAGCUAGUUGGCGGGGUAAAGGCCCACCAAGGCGACGAUCCGUAGCUGGUCUGAGAGGAUGAUCAGCCACACUGGAACUGAGACACGGUCCAGACUCCUACGGGAGGCAGCAGUGGGGAAUAUUGGACAAUGGGCGCAGGCCUGAUCCAGCCAUACCGCGUGGGUGAAGAAGGCCUUCGGGUUGUAAAGCCCUUUUGUUGGGAAAGAAAAGCAGCAGGUUAAUACCCCGCUGUUCUGACGGUACCCAAAGAAUAAGCACCGGCUAACUUCGUG
rnacentral:rRNA from 1 species